rnacentral:rRNA from 1 species
UACGGGGGGGGCAAGCGUUGUUCGGAAUUACUGGGCGUAAAGGGCUCGUAGGCGGCCAACUAAGUCAUACGUGAAAUCCCUCGGCUUAACCGAGGAACUGCCUUUGAUACUGCCUCGCUUGAGGCCGGGAGAGGGUAGCGGAAUUCCCAGUGUAGCGGUGAAAUGCGUAGAUAUUGGGAGGAACACCAGUGGCGAAGGCGGCUACCUGGACCGGUUCUGACGCGUGAUGCGCGAAAGCGUGGGGAGCAAACAGG